rnacentral:lncRNA from 1 species
CUCAAUGUAUUAUUCACCCCCCCAGUCUUAUUAACUGGGAUAAAUGCUCGGGGCCUUAAGCCAAAUCACAUUUGACAGAUGGAAGUUCUGCAUGUACAAGAGUGUGGAAGACAACAGUAGGUACAUGUGUCUGUUGACACCUAUUCUAUUAUUUUUGCUACAGCACAAAUGGGAGAAAGUGGUAAAGGUCAUUAGUUAUUGGCUGAUUUUGCAGUCAUGGGCAAACCAGUUCUUUUCAGUGCUUUUGUGUUUCUUAUAUUAUUCAUAAGAUACGAAUCCCAUAGAAUACUCAAGGACCAGGAAUAGUAGAAUGUGCCAAUAGAAUGUUAGAAAUUCAACUUCAGAAACAAAAAGGGGGGGGAUAGGUAUUAUCCAUCUCCACAGAAUCAAUUGCAUCAUGCUCUUUUUAUUUUGAAUUUCUUAAAUUGUAAUGAGAAGGGCUGCACUGCAGCUGAGAGACACCAAGUCUCUGGUUCAGCUUGUUCAGCAGGAAUGGUAUGAUAGAAAGAUUUACCAUCAGGAAAAUAGAAUGGGCAGGAUCCAGUAAUGACGGGAAGAGGUUAUGACUGUAUCUUUCCAGAAGGUGCUGAGAAGCCGAUUGGGUAUCUGAGAGAGGAGUCAUCAACAUGGAUCCAAAAAGUGAACACGAACCCGAAUCCAAAAGACUGAAGAUCACACCAUCAAUAACGGUACCGACACAACAGCUACCUUUAAACAUGCAGCCAAGCAAAGGAGGCAAGAAAAAGGAAGGAGCAACAAAAAGCACACUACGCGUAAAUCCCCCGACAUGGAGUCAGAUCCAGAACUUGGCAAGCAAAGCUCAGGGAGUGAUUGAGAAGCAGGGGGUCCCUGAGACACCAGCUACCAUGUUUAUGGCAAUGCUGGCUGUUCUAAGUUGUCAGGUAUGUAUCGUAACGAGAAACUUAUUGGACAUAUUUUCCAGGUCCUCCAUUAAUUAAUCCCACUACCUGGGCUGGAGGAUCUGUUCCAGUGUUUACAGAUUAGUCUGCCAUGGGGGGGUUGUCAAUCUGAUUUUCAUAUUUUCCCUCUUAUUUCUUUAAUUUUCUUAUUCUGGGUAUACUGCUGAGGUCCCUAUGUCCCAGGAAUCCUAUGGUGGUACUUGUGUUGCCGGUUUCCAGUCCUUCUUUAGGAUUUGAAAAAAUAUAUACAAACUAUUAUCAAAAUAGAUUUUCCUAAAUAAGAACUCUGACAACAUCCUCUGUUCCCUUAUUGCCCAAAUUCCAGCACUUCAGAACUGGGAACUUUUCCUCAGUGGCGAGAUUGUGCUAAUUUAGUUCCUGUAAGACAUAUUUGCAGUCCAAGUCAUAUGUCCUCAUAAGUUUGAUUUGGAACAUUCUCAUAAUGAACUCAUGACCCCUGGAGGGUUUGUUAGUAAAAUCUGACCUCAAGAUCAGGAGGCAUUCAGAAGAAUUUAUGGCAUCUAGCUGCUAUUUUAGAUUUUGUUAAUUUUACUAGUCAGUUGCUUUCACAUCUAACCACUGAUUGUACCACCAACUCAUUUUAUGGUUUGUGGUUGUGUGUUCAGUCUCUUUAUGCAUUAUUAACAGGAAAUACUAAUCUCACAAAAAUGGGCAGUGAUCACUAUUUUGUAACGAGUACUAACUGUAAUCUUACUAAUUGUGUGACUAAUAUAACAAAAAUCAAGGUAUUUUGGUUUUAUAUCAGCCUUCCUUUCUUAUGCUUUCCACCAGCAUCACGGAUGACUGACAUUAAGAUAAUAGGGCUAGGUUGGCAUGGUGGUGCACACCUUUAAGCCCGGUGGUUUGGGAGGCUGAGGCAGGAAGAUCACAAGUUCAAAGCCAGCCUUAGCAAAAACGAAGCACUUAGCAACUCAGAGAGACCCUGUCUCUAAAUAAAAUGCAAAAUUGGGCUGGGGAUUGGCUCAGUGGUCAAGUGCCCCUGAGUUCAAUUCCUGGUUUACCACCACCACCACCGCCCCCCAAAAAAGAUAACAGGGCUAUAAUUAUCAAGAACUUCAUAAUCAGCUGAUUCAAUCUUCUGUGCUAUGGGACUUAUAGUCUUUGGUAUUGUAACUUUAAUUAUAUUGCGAUUGUUUCUACAAUCACUGCCUCUGACAUUCUGGUACAGGAUAUCCAACUCAUUUUGUCAAUGCUUGACACAAAAUACAUUAAGAACCCUGUAAGAUCAGGAGAAUACUGAUAAUAAACUUAAAGCUAAGUUAAAUGCUUUAAAACCUAGUGUAAUAAACUUAGGUAAUCACAUAGUUUUAAGGUCAGAGGACAAUUACAGUGCCAUGUUGCUUAUCAGUUUAUUUAUGUAAUACCUGUUUUACAUGUUAAUUCCCAGUGGGGUUAGAAAAAAUAAAGAUACAUCUAUUAGCAAUUUGAAAUCAUAAGUGUUAGUUUAUAUCUUUUACACCUACACCAUUAGAUCCAAGUCAAGCAAAAAAGCAAGAUUCCUAUGUUAUCUCCUGCCAAUUUUGCAAAAAAAAAAAAAAAAACAACUGUUAAAUGACUUAAAUGGUUUUAAUCCUUGGAAUAUGCUAAAACAUACUACAUGGUAUCCUAUAGGGCUUGUUUCCUUAUUUUUAAUUUUGUAUUAUUUUCUCACAGUCAAAUGCAGUCUCGUCAAAUCCCAGUUCCAAUACCUCCAAGUAGACAUGCAUCAAUUGCAGUUAAAAAAUAAGGUGGAGAUGUGGAGAGCAGAUGAGCCCCUGGUUGAUGUCAGCUGAUCCUGUGGUGUUGGCAAAAGUCAAGUCUGGGAAACAUUCCUUGCCAAAAAGGCAAGGAUGCAGCAGGAUGUUCCUAGCAUUGCAACAGUAGGGUAACUGCAGAAAUAGUUCUACUUCUGUAACUUUUUAGUGUGCAGAGAAGACUCUUGGUAACUCACAAGACUUGAACAAUUUACAUUGCCCCUCUAGUUAAACUUCCUAAUUAUGAGACCCUUUAUAAUAAACUUGCAAAGCUAGUUCUGGGUCACUGUUCCCCCAUCAGAGUGUCCCAGUGUCCCAUAGUCCCAGCUUUACUUCAGAAUGUCUCUGUUUUUCUCCAUCUCCCAUCACCCCUACUUGAGGUCCUUUGUUGAUGCUGCGUGGGUCUGGCAGAGAGCUGAGUUCUACAUUAAUGAAUAACUCAAGUUUGUCUACAGAGAAGCUAUAAGAAAAAUCUCUGUUCAGAGAAAAAUCAGCUUUCCCCCUUCAUUUCAGGCAGUCCUUGUUAUAAUUCUUUUUUUUUUUUUUAAGGUUUUUAAAGGUAGACAUAAUACAUUUAUUUAUUUAUUUUUAUGCGGUGCUGAGGAUUGAACCCGUCGGCCUACGUGUUCAAGGCUGAGCUGUAACCCCAGCCGCCAUGCAUUAUAAUUCUGGAGCAAUUCUCUUUGAGUUCCCAAGAACCCAGACUUGCUUUUGCUAUUGACUUGGCAGAAGUUCCUGCAAAGCAUUUUUUUUAACUUUAUAUUUAGAAAUAAUUUUAAUCUUAUAUAGUUAUAUAGAAUUCCUGAAUUGUCUCUUAUUCGGAUUCCCCCCCACCCUUUUUUUUUAAAAUUUAGAUACAGGGUCUCACUGAGUUGCUUAGUACCUCCCUGUUGAUGAGGCUGGCAUGAUCCUCCUCCCUCAGCUUUCUGAGCUGCUGGGAUUACAGGCAUGCUCCAUUGUGCCUGGCUAGAUACAUCAAUUUUUAAAAAAUAGUUGAAGAUGAAAAAAAUACCUUUAGUUUUAGGAUAGAACCUAGUGCCUUACACUUGCUAAAAAAGGCGCUUUAGUAUUAGAGCCCCAGCCCCAGCCCAGAUUCAUCAAUUCUUAACAUUUUGACCCAUUUAACAUUCUCUUUACUGCAAGCCUACUAUUUAUAUUUAUGAAAUAUUCUAAAAUAGCUUACCCCAAAUUUCUGUAUGAAUUACUAAAGAACAAGGAUCAUUUUUUUAAAUAAAGAUGUUUGACACUGAUUAUCAUGUUCUGAUGUCAAUUAUUCCAAUAAUGUCUGUUUUAAGCAGUUUUUCCUCUAUUACAGUUUAGUACACAUUGCAUAAAAGUUGCCAUGCCUUUAGUCUCUUUAAUAUGGA